GCCAGUGUGGUUUAGUGGUUAGAGAGCCAGACUAGGACCUUGGAGAGCAGGGUUCAAAUCCCCACUCAGCCA